rnacentral:piRNA from 1 species
UAGGAAAGUAAGACAUGUUUUAUGGUCC